rnacentral:rRNA from 1 species
GACAGAGGUGCCGAGCGUUAGGCGGAAUCACUGGGCUUAAAGCGUGUGUAGGCGGGCGAUCAAGUACCUUGUGAAAUCCCACGGCUCAACCGUGGAACCGCUGGGUAUACUGGUUGUCUUGAGCCGGCUAGGGGCGAGCGGAACAGACGGUGGAGCGGUGAAAUGCGUAGAUAUCGUCUGGAACGCCGAAGGUGAAAACAGCUCGCUGGGGCCGCGCUGACGCUGAGACACGAAAGCCAGGGGGAGCGAACGGGG